rnacentral:lncRNA from 1 species
AAUGUGAUAAUCACGUUACUUCACUGAGAUUCAAUUUGUUAUACUAAAGUGUAUGAUGGUGGGUUCGAAAUAUAGGUUGAUUUUAAUCAAAUGAAGGGAUCUAUUAUGGAUCAGAAUUUCUUGGUGUUUAGCAGUCAUCUCAUCUGGAUUUUUUUUGGAGUGCAUUACAGAUUCAAAUGAAGGGAUCUAUUGUGAAUCAUAUAAUUUAUAUGUUUGCUGUUUCAGUGGAUUACAAUAGGCAUCUAUGAAUAUAUUAUGGAUCAUACAAUUUAGUUUGUGUAGAUGCAUGUCCUACAAAACAAUUAAAACAUGGAGAAUGUCAUUUACGUUAAUAUUGUGUCGGUUUAUCAACUGAAUCGUACCAUCAAUUGAAUCGUCGGUAUUGUUAGUACUCUAAAAGAAAAUAAUACGAGAAGAGCAAAAAUACCUAAAUAUCUAACUAAAAUAUCCAAAGCCCGCAAAAAAAUGGAAAUGAAGUGUUAUUCAAGUUUGUAAAUGUCUAAUGAAGAAUAUACAUAUCUAUCAUAAUAUUUAUAUAUUCAUUAUAAGGAAAAUAGAUUUAAUUUCACUUUAUGUUGCAUUUAGAAACUUUCUUAGCAUAUUUAUUGCAUAUUUAAUAUAUGAUUGGGCAUAUUGUCCGAUUUUCCAUUUCUAUUUCUGUAAGCAGUUAAUUUUUUGAGUACUUCCAGCGCAAGCAACAUUAUUUAUCACGCAAAAUAUAU